GGUCUUGUGGUCUAGUGGUAUGAUUCUCGCUUAGGGUUAAACCCCGAGCAUUGCUUGCGAGAGGUCCCGCGUUCGAGUCGCGGCAAGACCC
rnacentral:tRNA from 1 species